rnacentral:rRNA from 1 species
UACGUAGGGGGCAAGCGUUGUCCGGAUUUAUUGGGCGUAAAGAGCUCGUAGGUGGUUCGGUAAGUCGGAUGUGAAAUCUCCAGGCUCAACCUGGAGGGGUCAUUCGAUACUGCCGUGACUAGAGUUCGGUAGGGGAGUGUGGAAUUCCUGGUGGAGCGGUGAAAUGCGCAGAUAUCAGGAGGAACACCGGUGGCGAAGGCGGAUCUCUGGGCCGUAACUGACGCUGAGGAGCGAAAGCAUGGGGAGCGAACAGG